UCUUGGCCACAUGUGAAGGUGAGGCCCUUUAUCUUAUUUGCCAAAUUAACAAGAACCCCAACGCAAAUAAUUUCUCAUUUCUUGGCGAACUCAAGUUUGAAAUCUCUGCUCAGUGCUUACGCUUCUGGUUAGCUUGGUUCAUAGAGAGCUAGCUGUCUAAAAAUGGCACCAUCAUCAGCAACCUAUGUGGUUGGCUCUGCAACUACUCUUCUUCAGCCCCUUCUCCGGAAAAGAACCAUCCCCUUCAAUUCUUAUCAUAACGGUGCGUUUUGGACUUGGAAGGAGAACAAGAAGCAGCGGAAACUUACUUUCACUUCUACUUCCCUCUCAUCCAAGACUUGUUCUUGGCGUCCAAUUUCUGCCUCGCCUUUCGAUCUUUCCCCUCCACCUAUCGAUCUCGACCUCCUGGAAACAUUGACGGCAGAUGGGGCAAAAGCUUCAGAAGACGGGAUCAUUGAGACAUUUGAUAACGAUGAUGAAGCAUUAGAUGCUUUUGAUAAUGG
rnacentral:misc_RNA from 1 species